rnacentral:lncRNA from 1 species
GGCGGCUUUUGCGAUUGUUGAAACAUAUGCAUCAUCUGCUGAAGCUGUAGCUGGAGGUCAUCGUACUUUUUGCUCUGUUCUGCUACCAUCGCUCGUGCCUCUGCCUCUCUCGCUGCAGCCGCUGCCUCCCUCUCUGCUGCCUCCGCUCUAAGUUGUUGCUGGAGUUCUUCAUAUUUUCGUUGAACUUCGGCAAUUUGCUCAACCGUGUUCGCUUGCAUCUGAGCUAUCUGGUCUCUUAACCUCUGAACUUCAGCUUGAGCUUGACUUCCGGAAGGCAUGUAUUGCUGGGAGCCGGAUCCAAAAUAUUGGGUCGGGGUAACACCAGAUCCUUGAAAUCGAACCCGACCGUACCUUUCAGGACCCAAAACUUCAGUGAUAAUUCUGUUAUCAAUGUUCUCAAGAUUAACAGAACUAUCACUCGA